UACGUAGGGCGCAAGCGUUGUCCGGAAUUAUUGGGCGUAAAGAGCUCGUAGGUGGCGUGUCGCGUCUGCCGUGAAAGCCCAUGGCUUAACUGUGGGUCUGCGGUGGAUACGGGCAGGCUGGAGGCUGGUAGGGGCAAGCGGAAUUCCUGGUGUAGCGGUGAAAUGCGCAGAUAUCAGGAGGAACACCGGUGGCGAAGGCGGCUUGCUGGGCCAGUUCUGACGCUGAGGAGCGAAAGCGUGGGGAGAGAACAGG
rnacentral:rRNA from 1 species